rnacentral:lncRNA from 1 species
GGUACCUUUCUACUUGGUUCGCCUUUGAUGUCUGCUCAACAGCUCCAUUCCAGUCACUGAGUCUUCUGUUCAAUUACAAUGGAAGCGAAAUAGGAUUCAGAGUUCUUAGUAUGCUAAGGCUCUGGCGUCUCAGACGAGUCAGCUCGCUAUUUGCGAGGUUCAUUUCCAAUACUAAAUCAUUUACUUUCAAGUUUAAAAGAGUCACCAUUUUAAAGAAGCAGCACAAAUAUUAAUAUAUUUCCCUCAUUGUUACUUUCCUUCAGGCUUGAGAAAGAUAUCCGCUUCAACUAUUUCUGGACACGUUGCACAAAACUCAUUUCGGUAAGUCUCAGAAACAGAGGAAAAUGUUCUAAAAACAGAGAAAGCUCUUUUUUUUUUUAUCUAUAAAAUCUUCUGGCUGAUGAGUUAUAACUUACAACUUACAUUUUUAUAUAUCAGGUCACCCUUUUUGCAGUACAUUGUGCUGGAUGUUUCAACUACCUCAUUGCAGAUCAAUAUCCUGAUCCAACAAAAACAUGGAUUGGAGCUGUGUACCCAAAUUUCAAGGAAGCAAGCGUAUGGAGUAGAUAUGUUACUGCUCUUUACUGGUCAAUUACGACAUUAACAACAACAGGAUAUGGAGACUUACAUGCUGAGAACCCCCGGGAAAUGUUGUUUUUUGUAUUUUUCAUGCUCUUUAACCUGGGUUUCACAUCUUACCUGAUUGGUAAUAUGACCAACCUUGUGGUUCACUGGACUAGCCGCACCAGAACCUUUGUAAGUUCAGUCACUUCCUUUAGGCUUUGCAAGUUUAACCUGCAAAAAAAAUUUUAGUCAUAAUCAUAGGUUAACAUAUGUCAAAGAAGGUCACUAAGCUAGAGAUAUAUGUGAAGAGUACAACAAAAUGAAGGAUUUAUUUGUUCACUUAAACUAAUUAUAAAUCUUUUUCUUUCAAUUCAACAGAGGGAUACUGUUAGAGCUGCUUCAGAGUUUGCAUCAAGAAACCAACUACCACCAAACAUACAAGACCAGAUGCUAUCACAUAUUUGCUUAAAGUUUAAAACAGAGGGACUGAAACAACAAGAAACCUUGAAUGGUUUGCCGAAAGCAAUUCGAUCAAGCAUUGCAAAUUAUCUCUUCUUCCAAAUCGUUCAGGAUGUCUACCUCUUUCAAGGAGUUUCUCGCAACUUCCUAUUUCAGUUGGUAAAACACUCAUUUGUAAACUCCUUCUUGUCCUUUUCUUUCUCUAUGUACCGUUAUAUUUUUCCAUAAAAUUAACCAAGUAGAUAUACCUUUUCCUUUCUGACCAAGGUUUCAGAUAUAGAUGCCGAGUAUUUCCCACCAAGAGAAGAUGUAAUUCUACAGAACGAAGCUCC